CAGAGUUUACAUCAGAAAACUCACAGCUUCCCGCCCGGCGAUCCCCUGUCUCUGCCUGCUCAUGAUCCAGCCAUAAGGUCCUGUAUGGUGCUGCUUGAGAGGUGCGGGUCUUUGGUCCUCAGGUGGAGGCUGACAGAGGAGGCAGGAGGAGGGGAGGAGCCCGGGUGCUGCUGCUCUCCCAGUGCUCCCGGCCUUGCAGCUGCGUGUGUGAGCCCGAAGGGAAGGCCUGCAGCUGGGGGACAGGCUGCUGAGGGGCCCACGCUCGUGCUGCUGGAGGACGCGGCCACGGAGAUCUCAGACUGGAUGAGAAGUUCCCUCCCAGGCAGCAAGUAGGACAGCCGCCCUGCCUGCCAGGUGUUCCGUGUUGCCCCCUGGGGUCCUUCAACCUGCAGGCCUUGCUGCUGCCCUCCAAGGAGACCUUGCCUGAGGAUUCGGCCCUGGAGAGACCCAGAUGUUGAACUUGCUGAACUCUGGCAGCCCCAUUGCUUUGGCACCAAAGCGUCAGGAUGCUGUCCAGAGUAAUCAGAUUCCCCACAGUUUGGGGUUGAUGUUAGCAUCGGCAAGAAGCAGAGGAGUGAGAAGUUGUCCAGGUGUGCAGCUGUCAGCAGGACCAACCACCAAGGACUAAAGAGGAUGCAGCUCCGAUCAGGGAGUAAGCAUCAGGCUAGGAGGAUGGUGGACUCUCCCAAGACACCCUGGGGCCAGGGUCAGAUGUUCCAGUGCUGUCUGUGGUCAUCACAAUGGAUAAAAUUUCAUGCUGCUCACUUCUUAAUACACACGGACAAAGCUGGAGAGAUCAGAAAAAUCACGAAUGCUGCAUGGCCAUUCAUUUGUCCCAAAUUGUGUUCAUUGAAGAACAGGCAGCUGGCAUUUGGAAAAGGUUAGGUCUAUAUAUUGCAGUCUUUAUCAUACUCAAAAAAUGCUUCCAUGAAUCAACCUGAACUGAUUUAUUGUGAUGCCAUGACUGCAUAUUUGGAAUGAAUCUACUACUGUGUUUUGGAGCUUUAAAAAUAAAAGCCACUGAUCA